rnacentral:lncRNA from 1 species
AAAAAAAGUUUGUUUCCAGUUUUUGGAGAAAAAAAUAAUUUGUUUUUGAUUCUGAGAAAAAAAAAUUGUUUGUUUCACCCUCAGCUACCACUAUAUGUAAUGCUAAAAUUGUAAGAAAAAAAUUGUUUUCGACUUGUCUCGAAAAAAAUAGAUUGUUUUUUGCCGCAGGCGAAAAAAAAAAUUUGUCCAGAAAAAAAAAAACCAUAGCCCCCCCC